AAGGGACGCCCUAUGCUCCACUGACAGCAAAAAGGAAUAAUAAGAUAUGACAUUUUCACUUUGAUUUUUUUGUGAGUGAAUCAAUUCGUACAUUUUAAUAUUUUAUAUUUCAUUCUUCAUUCACUUUGGAAUUUUUAACAGGACCAUCUGGAAAAUUCAUUGGACUAGCUCCUGGGAGCAUGCCAACUAGAUGCAACAUGAAUGCCUGAAAAAUCAUUUGAAACUCCCAAAACAGCUAGACCCAACCAUAAGGUAUGAGAACCCUCUGUUGUGCCAGUUCUUAUCUGAAACGCCAGCUUCAUGGAGAUGAAAAAGGAUUUGACUUGUCUGCUUCCUCAGUGGAUUAUCAUGAAGAAUUCUAAAGAUGCUGUAGUGCUUGGAUUGUUGUCAAUUAAAACUAAAGAAGAAUCUGUCAAGGUUAGCUUUUCUGCAACAACUGGAUUACAGGCAAAUGUGAGUGUGUUUCAAAUGUGUGCAUCGUGGUUUGCAAGAGACCUUGAAAUGGUUAGGCUUAAAAUAUUUUUUUAAACAAUAGGGUGAAAAGAUUCUCUGCACUGGGGUCACUAAAACUAAUCUGCAACCAUUAGCUAAAAUUAAAAUCACUAAUAAAAAGUAUUUCCAACAUUAAAUAUGCCUGUGAGAAUGGUAAGCUCUGUUCAUAUUCAUCUGUAAAGGCAACUAUACCUGUUUACUGUUGGUGGCUACUGCAGAAUCAACAUGCAAAGAGUGUGUACUGGUCGAGAAGACACUUCACAAAAGAAAAUGUAGGCAAGAAGCAUGUUGCCAAGAAGCAAUAAAACCAGUACCUCACCACAGUAUCCCUUUUGACAAAAUUAAGCAAGAAAGAGUAGCAUGAUUACUGUAAGGGAUGUUAAUGAAAUAAAAAUCAGCUUCCUGCCAAAGUGUUAAAGAUUUGUUUUGAGAGGGUUUAGCUUGGGCUGCAGUAUUCAGAUGAAAUUCAAAUUUCUAAAAGAAAAAUAAAUAAAAAAAAGAACAAAAAUGAUGAAAGAAAUAAAAAUACGACGACAAAAGUUUUUAUUUUGCAGCAAGACUUUUAUAGACCUGGACACACCUCUGGAUGACAUACUUCCCACAGCUUCACCAUCCAUUCUCACAGGCUAUUUGAACUGUUCACAAAUUUCUGUCUCAGUCAGUGCAAGGAAACAUAAAAAAUGCACUUGCAUAUCUAUAUCUUAUUGUACCUCUGCCAGUUCUGCUCACAAGGAAAUUAAGAAAACUAUUGAACUUUGGCUGAAUAGUAGAAAUAUGUAAGUUAACUCUUUUUACCAUAAACUACAUGAUUAAAUUACUAUUCUUAAUCUCUUUAAGCCUCUCACCUCCAAAAUCCCCAGUAACAUACAAAAAGUAUCUGAAAUUCUCACUUUCCACAUGCAUACCAAUAAACACAAGCAUGCAUGCACAAUAUGCAACCGAUAUGGAAGACAAAAUAAUACUUCUGUUUAAGGCAAAGGCUCUCAAAAGCAUAACUGGGCAAACCGUUAGUCUUCUGUUGCCGUAACUAGAAACUAACCUAGGCACCAUUGCAGAACUCUUCAAUGUUUACCUUACAUUUCGUAAUACAUUUGUGUAUUACAUCGCUUCAUUGAAAUUUCAACAAAUUAAGUGGAUAUGAAAGCCAGCACAAGACACCCAUGGAACUGUCAUGAAGAGGAAAGCAAUUCAACUCCAAAAUGGCAAUUUGAUACAUAUUUACUGCGUUAAUAGUUCCUUUGGAUCAAAAUAAUGAAACUGAUAAACUGCAACUCUCUCCAUUGCUUAGAUUGAAAAAUAGAAAACCUGCUAACAUAAAAUGCCAAUAUCCAUAUCUUGUAUUUCAGCCUAAGAUAUGCACACAGAAAUUUUAUUUCUGCACAAAUCACACAAUACUUCAACCAAGAAGCUAAUGCCAACAUCAUCAAUGGUACAUCACUCUUUGGUUAAAAGAGUUGGUUACAUCUAUUCCAUAAGCUAGUUCUAUAUAUCAAUUUAAUUUUAACUUUAAGAAAAAAAAAUUUCUCACUUCACACACACAAAUGCACUCAAUGUUUUUUUGCAGAAUCGGGACAUGCAAAACAAAGGCAUAAAAAGUGCAAAAGAGAGCCAUUUGACCACUCCUCUCCACCUCAUGUUGCUGUUUAAAAGUCUACUCAAGGUGACCUUUAGUAAACUUGUUACAAACUGAUAAUCUAAAAAUAAUCAUGUUUAAUCUGUUCAAGGCAUCACAGCCAUUCUUUAUGGUAUCUGAAUCAUGUGAAGUUUCUGUGAUAUCCUACAUGACCUACAGGGACUGCCAUUAACCUCUGCCCACCAUUAACAUCAUUCAUAUUGAAGUUUCUGACUUAAACAGAUAUUAAAAUUCAUGAAGGGUGAUGGGAGGACUCUCCCAGUUAAAUCACUAUGCACAGUAGUGCAUGUUUUUAAAAAUUAUUUAAAAAUCCAAGUAACAUACAGUCAACAAAAUCAUCUGAAGGCUGUUUCAUUAAGGAAUGUAGUUUAAAAUCAUCAAAAUUAACUAAUCUCUAUUUUUCUGUGAACAAGUUGCAAUGUGUUGCAGUGUAUGGCUAAAAUUACACAAGAAUACAAACUUGUCUUUGAAAUCUGCACACUUCUUAAUUAUGAAAAGCCCUAACAACCGGGAAAGAACUUUUUGCAUAGAUGCAUCCAGGGCAGACCCCUGGAAAAAUUUGUUCAAAGCAUCAUCAUACACAACAUAAUGGAACUAAUCAUGGUCCUGGCCCAAAGGCAUAACACACACACACGGGAAUCAGCAUUCAACAGGCACAAUAUUCACUUGAUGCAAUGUCCAUAUCCAAGUUGAGAGAAAACAAUAAUGGGAACACUGAUGGUAUCCAUAUGACAAGACUGACACAUUCUCUAACAUUUCUAUCAAAUGUACUAAAACUCAUGCUAAUGAAAUCUAAAUGCAGGGACUAGUAUAUGAGGUUACCUCUUACAUCACCUUUUCAUGGAUUUAGGCACCUAACUGUGCUGGACAGGAAAUUUAAAAUCUGUACAAAAGUACCGCGACAAACUGCUGCCAACAUGAAUCUCAAAACUAGACUUACAGAAACCAAAUUCUACCAAAGAACCAAGCAGUGUAUACAACAAAGCUGAACAAGAGACAUCAUUAGCUCUACCCAUGUAAGCCUUGUCCUUUUUUCAAUAAAAGACUCUGCAACACUUCUACUUAAAUAAUGUGUGGGCCAUAAAAUUUUGGCAAGAAAGACAACUGUUAAUUAGUUCUUUUUGACAACAAUAGCACUAAAUAAUCCAGGUGGUGCGUAACCUUUUUUUUUAACUUCGUGAGAAGAUCAACUGAUCAAAUUUGUAUUCCAUGGGUAAGACCAAGAAUCUCCACUUCCUCCAUCACAUACCUUCAUGCAUUCACAUAGAUUUUCUGUUGUAAUAUUUAAAAUAGUUAUUCAUGUUACAUUUUCUAUGCAAAAAAAAAGUAAAUCAAAGAUAUGUUUGUGAACAAUAAAUUUAUGAGAUCUGGCUCUCCAAAAUAGAAUACUUUAUACAUAUACUGUCCACUUUCUUUUUUUUUUUGAGGAAUAUGCC